CAAGGCCACGAGAACAUCCUUGUGCCCACACCGUGCUGGGAUGGAAGGUCCCACGCUGCAUGGCUGGAGAAACCACUGCAGCCUCUGGGUUUCAGUGCGGGGCUCCUUCUGUUUCCUCAUGAGAUUUUGCUCUCAUCAACACAAGCUGGGAAAAGCCACCAGGCAUUCUUUGGCAUGGGAAUGCACCAGCACUCAAUUUGAAGACCUUUAUCAAACCACCCAGCGCAGCUCCAGCUUUGGUUCCAAUCACACACCCAGGUAUUCAUUGUGUUUAAUUGCUUUAUGCUGGUUUUGCAGAGCUUGGGUUUUGCCUCCGGGCCAAUCCAGCAGCUGUCUGCGCCUCACUUCAGACCCAGCCUGGUAUCUGCUUUCAUCUCAUCUUAUUGCUCCUGCCACAAAUGGAGCUGUAACUCAUUCCGAGUGCCGUGUACAAAUGAGCGCUUCCACCUGGUAUGACUGCAUGGAAAGGGUUAAACCAUCUUUUUCUAAGUAUGAUAAAGCAACACUGAAAUGCCAGGGAAAGUUUUG
ensembl:lncRNA